GAACAUUCUCAGGGCGGGGUGGAAUUCCCCACCGGCGGUGACGCCGGGCCACGCGUGGCCCGGACGAGUCCGCGAGCGCUCCCGCAAGGGAGGUCAGCAGAUCCGGUUGGAACCCGGAACCGACGGUCAUAGUCCGGAUGGGAGAGAAGGAGA
rfam:Corynebacterium freneyi DNF00450 contig15, whole genome shotgun sequence.